rnacentral:rRNA from 1 species
GAUGACCGUACCGCAAACCGACACAGGUGGGCGAGAUGAGUAUUCUAAGGCGCUUGAGAGAACUCGGGAGAAGGAACUCGGCAAAUUGGUACCGUAACUUCGGGAUAAGGUACGCCCUUGUAGCUUGACUGGCUUGCGCCAGAAGGGUGAAGGGGUUGCAAUAAACUGGUGGCUGCGACUGUUUAAUAAAAACACAGCACUCUGCAAACACGAAAGUGGACGUAUAGGGUGUGACGCCUGCCCGGUGCCGGAAGAUUAAAUGAUGGGGUGCAAGCUCUUGAUUGAAGUCCCGGUAAACGGCGGCCGUAACUAUAACGGUCCUAAGGUAGCGAAAUUCCUUGUCGGGUAAGUUCCGACCUGCACGAAUGGCGUAACGAUGGCCACACUGUCUCCUCCCGAGACUCAGCGAAGUUGAAGUGUUUGUGAUGAUGCAAUCUACCCGCGGCUAGACGGAAAGACCCCAUGAACCUUUACUGUAGCUUUGCAUUGGACUUUGAACCGAUCUGUGUAGGAUAGGUGGGAGGCUAUGAAACCGGAACGCUAGUUUCGGUGGAGCCGUCCUUGAAAUACCACCCUGGUUUGUUUGAGGUUCUAACCUUGGCCCGUGAUCCGGGUCGGGGACAGUGCAUGGUAGGCAGUUUGACUGGGGCGGUCUCCUCCCAAAGCGUAACGGAGGAGUACGAAGGUACGCUAGGUACGGUCGGAAAUCGUGCUGAUAGUGCAAUGGCAUAAGCGUGCUUAACUGCGAGACCGACAAGUCGAGCAGGUGCGAAAGCAGGUCAUAGUGAUCCGGUGGUUCUGUAUGGAAGGGCCAUCGCUCAACGGAUAAAAGGUACUCUGGGGAUAACAGGCUGAUACCGCCCAAGAGUUCAUAUCGACGGCGGUGUUUGGCACCUCGAUGUCGGCUCAUCUCAUCCUGGGGCUGUAGCCGGUCCCAAGGGUAUGGCUGUUCGCCAUUUAAAGAGGUACGUGAGCUGGGUUUAAAACGUCGUGAGACAGUUUGGUCCCUAUCUGCCGUGGGCGUUGGAUAUUUGAAGGGGGCUGCUCCUAGUACGAGAGGACCGGAGUGGACGAACCUCUGGUGUACCGGUUGUCACGCCAGUGGCAUCGCCGGGUAGCUAUGUUCGGAAGAGAUAACCGCUGAAAGCAUCUAAGCGGGAAACUCGCCUUAAGAUGAGAUAUCCCUGGGGACUAGAUCCCCUUGAAGGGUCGUUCGAGACCAGGACGUUGAUAGGUCAGGUGUGUAAGCGCAGUAAUGCGUUCAGCUAACUGAUACUAAUUGCCCGUAAGGCUUGAUCCU